GAUGAACGCUGGCGGCGUGCCUAAUACAUGCAAGUCGAGCGAACGGACGAGAAGCUUGCUUCUCUGAUGUUAGCGGCGGACGGGUGAGUAACACGUGGAUAACCUACCUAUAAGACUGGGAUAACUUCGGGAAGCCGGAGCUAAUACCGGAUGAUAUUUUGAACCGCAUGGUUCAAAAGUGAAAGACGGUCUUGCUGUCACUUAUAGAUGGAUCCGCGCUGCAUUAGCUAGUUGGUAAGGUAAUGGCUUACCAAGGCAACGAUGCAUAGCCGACCUGAGAGGGUGAUCGGCCACACUGGAACUGAGACACGGUCCAGACUCCUACGGGAGGCAGCAGUAGGGAAUCUUCCGCAAUGGGCGAAAGCCUGACGGAGCAACGCCGCGUGAGUGAUGAAGGUCUUCGGAUCGUAAAACUCUGUUAUUAGGGAAGAACAUAUGUGUAAGUAACUGUGCACAUCUUGACGGUACCUAAUCAGAAAGCCACGGCUAACUACGUG
rnacentral:rRNA from 1 species